rnacentral:lncRNA from 1 species
AAACCAGAGGCUCUAAAGAGCCUGUGUCGCUCACCUUGGUCUUGUGCAUAUUAAACAAUGGACACGGAUAAAUUUAUGACAUAAUUGUGUUUCGGUGAUAGUGAUGUGUUUGUAGAUCUUACUUUACUGAACAUUCUUGUUGCUACAAUUAUCUCUAUCUAUAAUGAACUUGGCCCAGUAAUUACAGUGGAAAAUAUUUUCUAAAAAUUUACAAAAAUUGAUGAACUAGAGGCUCUCAAGAGCCUGUGUUGCUCACCUUGGUCUAUGUGCAUAUUAAACAAUGGACACAGAUAAAUUCAUGACAUAAUUGUGUUUUGGUGAAGGUGAUGUGUUUGUAGAUCUUACUUUACUGAACAUUCUUGUUGGUACAAUUAUCUCUAUCUAUAAUGAACUUGGCCCAGUAAUUACAGUGGAAAAUAUUUUCUAAAAAUUUACAAAAAUUUAUGAAAAAUGCUAAAAAUUAACUAUAAAGGGCAAUAACUCCUUAAGGGGUCAAUUGACUAUUUUGGUCAUGAAAACUUAUUUGUAGAUCUUGUUUUGCUGAAAAUUAUUGCUGUUUACAGUUUAUCUCUAUCUAAAAUAAUAUUCAAGAUAAUAACAAACUAGAGGCUCUAAAGAGCCUGUGUCACUCACCUUGGUCUAUGUGAAUAUUAAACAAAGGACGCAGAUGGAUUCAUGACAAAAUUGUGUUUUGGUGAUGGUGAUGUGUUUGUAAAUCUUACUUUACUGAACAUUCUUGCUGCUUACAAUUAUCUCUAUCUAUAAUGA